UCGAAUCGCAUGGCCUUGCGCCGGCGACGGUUCAUUCAAUUUCUGCCCUAUCAACUUUCGAUGGUAAGGUAUUGGCUUACCAUGGUUUCAACGGGUAAACGGGGAAUUAGGGUUCGAUUCCCGGAGAGGGAGCCUGAGAAACGGCUACCACAUCCAAGGAAGGCAGCAGGCGCGCAAAUUACCCAAUCCCGACACGGGGAGGUAGUGACAAUAAAUACUGAUACAGGGCUCUUUUGGGUCUUGUAAUCGGAAUGAGUACAAUUUAAACCCCUUAACGAGGAACAAUUGGAGGGCAAGUCUGGUGCCAGCAGCCGCGGUAAUUCCAGCUCCAAUAGCGUAUAUUAAAGUUGUUGCAGUUAAAAAGCUCGUAGUUGAACCUUGGGCCUGGCUGGCCGGUCCGCCUCACCGCGUGUACUGGUCCGGCCGGGCCUUUCCUUCUGGAGAGCCCCAUGCCCUUCACUGGGUGUGCGGGGGAACCAGGACUUUUACUUUGAAAAAAUUAGAGUGUUCAAAGCAGGCCUUUGCUCGAAUACGUUAGCAUGGAAUAAUAGAAUAGGACGUGCGAUCCUAUUUUGUUGGUUUCUAGGACCGCCGUAAUGAUUAAUAGGGACAGUCGGGGGCAUCAGUAUUCAAUUGUCAGAGGUGAAAUUCUUGGAUUUAUUGAAGACUAACUACUGCGAAAGCAUUUGCCAAGGAUGUUUUCAUUAAUCAGUGAACGAAAGUUAGGGGAUCGAAGACGAUCAGAUACCGUCGUAGUCUUAACCGUAAACUAUGCCGACUAGGGAUCGGGCGAUGUUUUUAUCUUGACUCGCUCGGCACCUUACGAGAAAUCAAAGUUUUUGGGUUCUGGGGGGAGUAUGGUCGCAAGGCUGAAACUUAAAGAAAUUGACGGAAGGGCACCACCAGGCGUGGAGCCUGCGGCUUAAUUUG
rnacentral:rRNA from 1 species